AUGUCGGCAUGUAUAUGGAUGGGGCUCUCCGGUGGUGGCUCGCGUUGCUCAGUUCCGGUGGUGCGGCGUCCUCAAUGCAGGCGGAAGGGGAUAGGGUUCCCCUUCGCGGCAGCAGUGGCGUGGCGGAAGCCGAAGGCUCCCGGUUUUCCAUUGUGGUCGGUUGCCUUGCUCGCUUGCUGCUCUUCGUUCACCUCGGUACCCUGCUGCCUCCUUCGACGACAAUUGCUCCUGGAAGCUUUCCAGUCCCACUUGGUCUUUCUUGGACAGCAGUGGUGCACUGGUGCUGUCGGCGAGGUGUGCCCGGAUCGAGGUCGCUCUGAGGCUGCUUUGGCUUUGAGGUUGGCAUCCUUCUUGCUCUUGGGUGAGCGUCUCUAUACUCCAAUGGUACGGCACCCUUCGAGCCAAGGCAAGGGGAUAGGGUAUCCUGUUCUAGACACCAUGAUCUUCAAACCCCUGUGA
rnacentral:rRNA from 1 species